AGCCUUUUUCCUCCCCUAUACGUCUUGCAGGAAUGCCCCUAGAAAGUACUUAAUCAAUGGGAAUACUGAUACGGGCAAUACCUGCACUAGAAAAUGAGAGACUGAACAGUCUUAUAUCUAGAGCCUUCCCAGGUAAAGAAACUGCAUUUAAAGGAACUCACCUAGUCCGCCAUCAAAGCAUUGAUAAGAGUAUCUCUGGUCUGGAGAUUCUUAGAUCGUUAGGGCGUAUGGAAGAGAAGCCCUUAGGAAAGAAAAGUAAUUGAAAAGAGAAGAAAUGCAACUGUAUCUAUCCUAUCC
rnacentral:lncRNA from 1 species